UUAAAGACAUUUUCGAUUUUAAAAUAUAUUUGCUUUAUGAUGAAAACAUGAAUUCGUAAAUAUGAUGAACGAAUAAUUCAAGCUCAACAGGCCUGAGGCUAAUACAUACUUAAAUUAUACCUACUAAACAUAAAAAAAGCUGAAAUAUUAAUUUUGAGUUUAUUUAUUUUGUAUUUGCAUAGAAUUUCAACAACCGUCUGCUGUUCCGGUUGGGUGAUGUUUACUUUUUGAUCGCUACCGUUGUACAGGUGGUCGCUUCUAUCCAAAUGUUACUAGUAGUAUGAUGACAUUGAGCAAUGGAAUGUGGGAUGGACCCAGGAAAAUCGUUAACCAAAGCAUAUGGAAAAUGAUCUAUGUACCUCUUAAUGCGCAAAAAUUUAGGAAGUGAAGUACAAAGAAAUCAAAUAGUAUAAUGUUAGUAACCUAGUGAUAAUAAUGAUAACAUUGAAAUAUGUAUCAACAAAAAUGAAUAACAAUAAAGAAUAUACAUAGGUAUAUUAAAUAAAGAAAAUAUUUAACUUCA